GGGGGUGUAGCUCAGGGGUAGAGCAUUUGACUGCAGAUUAAGAGGUCCCUGGCUCAAAUCUAGGUACCCCCA